AGGUAUCCCUUUGCUAAGCUAUACGUAAACAGCCCGUGCUCAUUUCUUAGCUAAUGUUAAAUGAAUAUGCAAUCCUCAUUAUUUAAAUUAUGAUGAAAAAUUAGAUAUUAUCAAUACCACGAAAUCAAAGAUUUUAAGUUACGACACUUUAACUAAAUUACGCAGUCGUGAUUUAGUUAAACAAAAAGUAAGUAAUAAAGUAAGUGAUGUUGGUAAUGCUAUUAAAUAGGUAGGUAUGUAUAAUUUUAAUGGUUUAAACAGAGCAGGCUGUUCACGCCUAAACUAUUCCAACAUAAGUUAUCCAGAACAAUGUGUGGGACAUUCAGUGUGGAUGGCUAUCAACAAGCUGUGCAAGCGAAAAUGAUCUGAAGGAUCACCUGUACAAUGGAUCAGAAUGGCGUGCACAUAUUUGAUUGAUAGAUUUUCCCUCUGUACCGAAGAUACACUGUACUAUUUACUUAUAUU